AUUAUUAAGGAUCUACCUUAAGAAUCAGCUAUUUCUCGAUCAUUCGUUCCUAAGGAAUCGACACAAAGUCCAUCGUUGCCACGGUUUACACAACGGGCACUAAGUCUGCAUAGUCGCCAGGGUUUAGGCAUCAAGUCUGCAUGAUCACCAGGGUUUAGGCAUCAAGUCUGCAUGAUCACCACGGUUUAGGCAUCAAGUCUGCAUGAUCACCAAGGUUUAGGCUACAAGUCUGCAUGAUCACCAAGGUUUAGGCAUCAAGUCUGCAUGAUCACCAUGGUUUAGGCAUCAAGUCUGCAUGAUCACCAAGGUUUAGGCACCAAGUCUGCAUGGACGCCAGGGUUUAGAGUACACCGGGUGAACACAUCGUUUACAACACCUACAGGUUGCAAGCCUGCUAGUGUUCCACUGGACUGUCUAGAAUAGUCUGUGGUUGUCAUCCAUACUCUGCUGAAUGACGGGGCCAUCAUUUGGAAAAGGCUUCUCACAUCGUCCACCUCUCACCCUCACCUCGUGGUCUAUAACACCUCUCAACUCAUCAUCAAACUCAUACUCCAUCUAAUACAUCUACCCAUGUUUUACCCCAACAUUAUCGUAGAUAUAAAAUACAUAUACAGUUUAAAUCAUUUAAAACAUGUAUAAAAUCGUUCAUCCAGCAUAGACAGCAAGUAUUUAGAUAAUAAGCACACAUAGCAUGUGAUUUAUAUAAAAUACUUCAUAUCUAUGUGUAAGAUAAAAGUAACUAUGCACUCACUUGCAAGGUGGUGACUCAACACUCGGACAACGCUUCGAUACUCUCAAAACAAUUUUCCUUCGAUAAAACCGAGUAUCAAUACCACUAGGGUUUAGUCUAACAAUAACCGCGAUAAAUUAAUAGUCUAGCUAUUAUUAUUAUUAUAUAAGUGUUAAAUAACACACAAUAUAACUCAUAAUAAUAGCUCAAAUAAUUAUUUUAAGGUCCUAAUAAUGUUAUUAUAAUUAAUUAGAAUCUAUAUUAAAAAUAGUGUAGGCGUAGCUCACUUAGAGCGAGUUUUUCGAAAAAUCGAGCUUCGCUGGAGCAGUGUUCCUGAGCCGAAAGGCUCUUUUCUAAGAGCCGUCAGGCGCUCUGGGGCUUCCGCCUCGUGCUAGGGACUUACCCUAGGCUUUGGGGGGUUAGGGUGGCUUAGAGAGAGAGUUUAGAGAGAGAAAGAAGUGGGGAAAGGUAUGGGAAAUGGAGGAACCCGACACCUCUAUUUAUACGCUGAAUUCCUGAUGGACUCGCCGAGUAGGAAGACCUACUCGCCGAGUUGGGGCAUGUGGCAACCUUCUGGUGGUGCCACGUGUCCAAUUCUGAUGGUGCCACGUCACCCCUAUCAUGUAUCAGCCUUCAAACUUAGAAAAAAUCAUAACUCUCGCAUACGAGAUCCGUUUUAGACGUUCUUUUUUUUCAACGUGUAGGGAAAAUCAAGAUGUACAACUUUCAUUUAGACUCCAUUGGCUAAUUCUCGACCGAUCUCAAAUUUAACAGUAGGAGGAGUUUAGACUGCCAAAUGACCGCGAAGAAUUUGUAACUCCUUCAUACGGACUCCGUUUUCAUAUGUAUUUUUACUGUUGAGUUCCUAUUAAUGAGAUCUUCAACUCUCAUUUAGGUCGUGUAAGCCAAAAACCGCUCGAACUAAAAAUCGAGUUUCGGGCCGUGCACUGCUAAGCCAAAUCUUAGAAAAUUCAUAACUUCCUCAUACGAAGUCAGAUUUGGGCGUUCUUUUUUAUGUUCUCGGUUUAACAUAUACUAAAACUUUCGUUUAGAUUGCUAAGGCUAAAAGUUGCUCCAUCAUAAAUUUACUAUUUACGCUUCCCGGUGUUGUGCCGGUUUUGCCGUAAAACUUCGACGGGCCAUAACUUCUUCGUUAUAACUCGGAUUUCGGCGUUCUUUAUAUGUACGGAAACCUUGAGCCAUAUUCUACAACUUGGUUAAGACUAUUUAAUAUAAAUAAUCUUUUGCCAAAAAGUUGUUUUCGACACUUAUUGCCUCUAAAUUGACUAGCCCAGAUCUGCGGGCGUUACAAUUAUCCCCCCUAAGGAUGAUUAUGUCCCAGAAUCAUCAACGAAACAGGGCAGUAUAAUGACUCCAUACGUUAUCUCUUCAUCCUAGGUAAUAACUGUAACUUCUAUGUUGCUUCGAACGGGUAUCUAACUCUUGGACUCCUUGACUGCAGGCGGUGCUCGGUCUUGCACCUGCUCGUUGGACUUUCAAUCAUGACCUUCGUCUCACAACCUAAUUCUUUAUCAGAGACUCUUUCUUCUUCUUAAAAAACUUAGGAUAAGUUAAUUUGAUUACUAUAAUCGACCGAUGUGUCAUGUUCUAAUGACCUAUCAUCGUAUGUAGCAACGCUUAGACUCAGGUCUCUUAGACUCAAAUUCCAGAAUGGAAUAGGCCUUCCUUCAUGUUCUAAUCACAUCUUAAAAGGUAGAAAUUCUAGCUACAAGCAACCGUCGCGAUACCUCUACCCAUCACUUCGAUUAUCUUUUACUUCAAUCCUAUAGCUUAAGUCACAUGUUACAUCAAACUUGGUUCUCUGAACCACGUAACAUACUCUUCGUAGUCGGACUCAAUAUGAUACGACCACUAGGGUCGGAAUAACAACAAUCUUCUUAGUCAUUACCGAAACUCUGGUAACGACAUGCUCGAAUAAAACGGAAUCAAUUAUUGGCUUCUUGGUAACCUUGUGACUUUUCCUAAUCCAAGCGUGAGUCCUAUGCUUCCGGUAGUAUAUACAUCUACUACCAUUCACACCUACUCAUACUCGUCCCAAGUAUUGCCUCGCAGUUUUCCAAGUUACCAUACAAUAAAAUCACAUAGCAAUUUAACACACCAGAUAACAAAACGAAGGCUUUAUUAUUUCUUGAAACUAUUACAUAGGUGUUCAAGUUCACCCUAGACUAUGCCUCUAAUAGGCUACAUCAUACGAUACUAUGGCUACUGCAUAACUUGAUCUUUGGAUAUGCAGUCCUCAUCCUUGAUUCCUCGCAAGGUUUUCUGCUUCUUCGAGGAUCAUGUGGAAUGACCUUGGCCUUGGUGGUGUGUUUGGCCUUGCUGCCUCGUUUUUCUUUGGGCAGUCCCUAGAAAUAUGCCUUUCUUUGUUACAUCCAUAGCACAUCUUUUUGUUGGACGCACACUUGAUGGCAUAAUGCCCCGUCUUUCCAUAUUUGUAGCAAGUCACCUCCUCGCUACAUUUCCAGAAGUGCUUCUUUUUACAUUUCUCUCACCACUUGUUUGCGCCUCCUCCUCCUUCUUCAGUCUUUGAGAAUUUCCUUUCUCUGUUGGAUUUUGAAGAUCCUUCAUGCUUCCUUUUCUCGCCAACUUCAGCUCUCUCAAGACCCUUUUCCCUAAUCUGGGUCUCAACAUUCCUGGCUGCCCAGAUGGCCCCUUUCAAAGUGGUUGCUUGCUUGACCAUUGGUCCAAAGUCUACUGGUAAUCCAUGGGCAAACUUGUUGACCUUGGAGAGCUCAGUUGGAACUAGGUAAGGAACAAGCUUCAUUUUCUCCGUAAAACUUGCAGCAUACUCGAUGACACUCAUCCUUCCCUUCUUUAGAUUCUGAAACUCGUUAUUGAUCUCCAUAAGAUCCUGCUCAGAGCAGUAUUGCAUCUUUAACUGCACCAGAAAAUCUUCCCAUGACAUCUUGCUCGCUUCUCCUUUGGGCAUCGAAUCGGCUAGUAGCUUCCACCAGCUUAGUACUCCAGAUUUCAACAGAGGAACCGCAAGAGCGGUCUUCUGCCUGUUGCUACACUCGCAACUCUCAAACAUCGUCUCCAUCUCAGAGAUCCAGUUCAUGACUUCCACCGGCGUCGGGCUUCCAGAUAGACUCGAUGGUUUGGACGCCAUGAAAUCCUUGUAUUUGCAUCCACAUCCAUCAUUUCCUCCAUCCUGGUGGUUUUGCCUAACUAUCGGUGGGUUGGCUUGACCAACAGUCCCACUGUAGUUUCCCUCCUCAGUCUGCCCUUCGUUCAACUCGGGCUGUUCGAUCUGUAUGGUCGCUUCCUCUCAAUUUUGUUGGAGCAAACGCCUGGUUUCCUCCAUUUGGCGAUCCAACAUCGCCUGGAUCAUCGCUUGCACUCCGGCCAUCGUUAUUGGCUCAGCAGCGGCCACCACAACCGGUAUUUGCUCAAUCACUGGGGGCUGAUCUCGGUUCCCAUUUGCAUUCACGUUUCCGCUACGGGUCCUUGCCAUCUUGAUCUAUACACCGAAUAAGGUGAAUCUAGAUCUUUAUGUAGGAUUGACGUUUAAAUCAUCCUUAUCACUCCGAAACGUUUACAUGCUAGUUCUAAUAUCGUUGUCGUACGUUUAGAAUCCUAAACCCAUAAGGUUUCCAGAUCCGGUUGGCAACAGACCAUGGAUCCGAAUAAAUAUCAGCAUAUAUGGCACAAAGCAUUUAGCGCAUAAAAGCAUUUUAGGCAUAAUUCCUAAAAUAAGCUAGUGCUUGUGUCUAUUCAAGUGUAUUACCUAAGACACACUCCUCACAAUCAUUGCUUAGCAUUCUAAGAUGAAGUCUAGAAAUUUCCUACAAAUUUCUAGUUCGCUUAAACUAAUGCUCUGAUACCAACUGUGACAUCCCCAUUUUCACGGCCAGAAAAGACUGAUUUUAUUUAUGUUUUGUUUGAAAAUCAGAGUAACAUUUUAAAUAAAAGUGUUGCAGAAUUUGUUCCCAGAAAAACACAAUAAAUAUGUUAUCAAAAUUUUUUCGAAGAAACGUAUUUUAUUCAUUUUAAAACGUUUGGGAUGUCAUCGUCAAUACAGAAACAUAAGCAUAAACGGAACUUACAUUUAUUUACACUAGUGAUCUACAUCUCUUUAAUCUCUCAGUGUAAUGUAACUUCAUAUCGACACCUGUGAUAUAAAUAAACUGAGUGGUUCAGGUUAGGAAACCUGGUGAGUACAUAGGGUUUUCAACCGACAAUAAUAUAAUUAUUAUGUUUAAACAAUCAAGCAAGCAACCCAAUUACCCACCCCCAUUAUAUUCUUUAUUCUUAAGGAUCUACCCUAAGAAUCAGCUAUUUCUCGAUCAUUCGUUCCUAAGGAUCAUCCUAAGGAAUCGACCCAAAGUCCAUCGUUGCCACGAUUUACACAACGGGCACUAAGUCUGCAUAGUCGCCCGGGUUUAGGCAUCAAGUCUGCAUGAUCACCAAGGUUUAGGCAUCAAUUCUACAUGAUCACCAGGGUUUAGGCAUCAAGUCUGCAUGAUCACCAAGGUUUAGGCAUCAAGUCUGCAUGAUCACCAAAGUUUAGGCGUCAAGUCUGCAUGAUCACCAAGGUUUAGGCACCAAGUCUACAUGGAUGCCAGGGUUUAGAGUACACCGGGUGAACACAUCGUUUACAACACCUACAGGUUGCAAGCC
rnacentral:lncRNA from 1 species